GCGCGCCGCUCGCCUUUCGAACCGUCUUCGGUGACUGCACGACCCUUUUCGAAGUGACACUGCGCAUGCUCCGGAUUGCCAGCACUGCGCCUGCGUCCCUCUGCUCCCACAUUCCGAAUAGGGCACUGUCAUUGCCGCGCGGCAUGCUGGGUAACCGCGCCACCUUUAAAGGCAAAUUCGAUAUUCUGUUAUCCGAUUGAUAUAAAAUCAAUUUCUCAUCAAAAAGAAGAACACAAGGAAUGUCAGGAGCCUUUCUUCGACAGGAUUAGGGUAUGCACGAGUUUCCUUGAGGAAAAGUGGCAAGCUAAAAAUCGUUGGACGUUUCACUCCUGUGAAUUUCCAUCUCUGCCUCCCCUGGCAAAACUCAGAUACCUGGUCACCCAAAUAUAGCAGGUGAUUCUCCUGACUGGAUCCCAUGAAAAUCUAUGUGGCAAUGACCAGGGUUGGAGGAAUCAAAGAGCGGAGGAUCACUAACCAGAUUUAUGGAUACCAAUGGAAGAUGACUUUGAUAUCCUCUUCAGGAGCAAACAAGGACAAAAGUCGACAGAUCUGAAACAGUAAUAACUUCCACUGCUAACAAGAAUAACAGUGAACUUUAUGAGAUGCUGACAGACCAGCUGAGCUUUUCCAGCAACUUCUGUUUUUCCUCUUGAAUAAGAUGAUGGAUUUCCUUCGACUCUCCAUCUCAGCAUCUCGACGAGUCUUCCCUUUGCUGUGACUUUGGAGUCUCUUUUGGGCUCUGCUGCUCACCAAAAUGUGUCUAACAGUUAAAGUAUUGAGCAGCAUAAUCAGAACAAAUGAAAUGCCUGGUGUUAUAAUAUGAUGAAAGAAGUGGAUUAUUGUCCAAAUGGUUGAUUCCAUAACAUUGGAUGCUAUAUAACAAAACCAGGGAAAAAUCUGAAGUCAAUGAUUUUUUUUUAGCAUAAAAUACCAAAAAUGUUUUUUAAACAGCUUAGAGCUGUUACUGUUCCCAGAACCACAGCCACCAUUUUCUCAAUGCAGUAUUUACUUUUCAACUUAUGGCAACAAAUGGAUCAAAGGUGAAAGUGAUGGUCAGCCAAACAGAGCAGUCUGUGACUGUAUGAAGUAAGAUGGCAUGGAUGUUGCACACAUUAAUGGAAAAUUGUAAAAAGAACAGUUCCCGAUAAGCAGUUGGACUCUACCUCAGUAUCAGAUCGAAGAUAAUGACCAGCAGCUCUUCUGCUGCCAUGGCCACAAGAUAGUAGGUGAUACAUUUGGAGAGACCACACUUACUGUGCACAAGAAUCACAAUUGUCACUAAAUUAACUGUUAGGAAGGGGAAUAAAGGUGGACAUUCUACCUCAGACGUUUUGAAAUUUUGCAGGCUCUAUUGAAAUUUGAACAUAUAAUUGUAAUAUUUGGAAUGAAAUGAUAGCUGAGGAAUAACAGCUUAUAAGAGAUCAAAUGAAGUUCACUGCUGAACUAACAAUUACACGUGACUAUGAAAAUUGUUUGAGUGUUGAAACCCGAGAACUAAUCCACUAUUAGAUCGAAUAAUGACCUCAGUAUA